AUUGAACGCUGGCGGCAUGCUUUACACAUGCAAGUCGAACGGUAACAGGCCUUCGGGUGCUGACGAGUGGCGAACGGGUGAGUAAUGCAUCGGAACGUGCCUAGAGGUGGGGGAUAACGCAGCGAAAGCUGUGCUAAUACCGCAUGUGAUCUGAGGAUGAAAGCGGGGGACCAGGCAGCAAUGUUUGGCCUCGCGCCUUUGGAGCGGCCGAUGUCAGAUUAGGUAGUUGGUGGGGUAAAGGCCUACCAAGCCGACGAUCUGUAGCUGGUCUGAGAGGACGACCAGCCACACUGGGACUGAGACACGGCCCAGACUCCUACGGGAGGCAGCAGUGGGGAAUUUUGGACAAUGGGCGCAAGCCUGAUCCAGCAAUGCCGCGUGCGGGAAGAAGGCCUUCGGGUUGUAAACCGCUUUUGUACGGAACGAAAAGGCUCUGGCUAAUACCUGGGGCUGAUGACGGUACCGUAAGAAUAAGCACCGGCUAACUACGUG
rnacentral:rRNA from 1 species